GUCUGUACGAUUACGCGUAAUCGCUCUGUAUUCUGGACAGCUUGAGAAGGAGUUGACGAACUCGGACUUCUCCCCUGCCACCCUGGGAGACGUCCCAGGGGC
rnacentral:sRNA from 1 species